ensembl:lncRNA
UUUUUGUUUGUUUUGUUUUUUGUUUUUGUCACCAACCUUAAUUCAGGAAGUGAAAUCAGGUAACAAAAAGCCAGCCAUUUAGUAAGUGUUAUUUCUCCCUGUUUCCUGAAAGAGACUGCAGAAUUAUCCUUGUUACAUAAUUUUAAUGAGAUAUGUCUCUAAUUCCAUUACGAAACACAUCUCUGCUUUUGCAGAUAUUACAUCAGAGGUUUCUCCUUUAAGGCUUGAGUUUUGUGACUGAGCUAGAAGAUAAUUCUUCAAGCCUAAAAUAUAUUUGUGGCUUAGAUGUGUGGAGAGAAGCCUGAUAGCUCUGAAGAAAAUUGAAUUUGCAGCACAAAAAGAUGGCUUCUGAAUGAAGAUUAAUGUGUGUGCACGGUCAAUAAACUCCUGAUGACACGUUAACAGCUUUAGCUCCGCUGAUGUUGUUUUCCUGCCUUAGGCAUGGUACCUCAGCAGAGAGCUCCGGCGAUAAGUCAGAUCCAUCCAUAUCCAGAAGCGAAGGGCCAGCUGCGGGCAAGAGGAGAUGCUCAUGCAGAGCUCACAGCAGGAUAGAGGCCAAAAUGACCUUGCUGGGGAGUGACGAAAUGCUCAGAUAUAUAUACAGCACUGCAGAAAGCACCAGGAGGUAAACUGAUUCUCCUCCAUUCACCCUUCUUUUUCAUAGAGAUGGAAGGUCAACAUGUGUGCUUGCUUUUUUUCUGUCUGUCUGCCUGUCCUUCUUUCUGUCUGUCUUUCAUUUUAAAAGCUAACAUUGCAAAGGAAAAGUUUUUCUUCUAUCAGCAAAUGUACAGGAGAUAAACAUGCUGUAUGCUGUGUUAUUAAAUACACAAAGGGAAGACGUAAAUGUUUCCAUAGUAACAUCUCUUUGCACAGUCUAGCUGGCCUGUAUAUGACGCUCAGGGACUGUCAAGGGGGGAGGCACUUGUGGUGCUGCAUAGCGGGAAGCGAGGAGGGGGAUGUGGGGGAUAUGCAUUGCCAGGGCAUUACCAGGGCCAGGAAGAUAACCAGCAACAGUAAUGCAGAUGGAGAUGCUGGCCCCUUCCUGGAAUGCUGAGGCAGCCAGGAGGGUUUGCAGGCCCCAUGGUGGCUCUGUCAGAGUGCCUUGGGCUCCUGCAGGGUCUCACACCCCGGGGGGGGGGGGGUCCUGGUGAUAAUUUCUGUCCUUUGAAGCUUCCAUUCAUGGGCGGGACAACAGGAAACAAACCCCAGGCAUGCAGCCUAACUCUACACUUCAGUGAGCAAAGAAUUUCCAGACACCAGGAGGAAAUUUUCUGGCAGAGAGUGUUGAGGGAAACACAAAGAUGGAUUGAGGCAAAGUGCUUAUAAAGUCUGAGCAAUUUUGAGGGAGAAUUACCUACAGUCUCUGCAGUUCAGGGUAAUUUGCAGUGCUUGGUUGCUUCUCCCCUCAUGCGGCACAAACGGAUAACUGGAGAAUUGGUUCUGCCAGAUCCUCGUUGUAAGCUCUUUAAGGAUUGCUUUAUAGACCUUCCAUUUUAAAACCGGGUGAAGAGAUGAAUAUAUGUGAUUAAAGAUCGAGCUGGGAAGUAUUAGUGUCCAUUUUUUAUUAUGUACAAACAAAAAAUAAGUUAG